rnacentral:rRNA from 1 species
GGACGCAGCCUGAUCCAGCCAUGCCGCGUGCAGGAUGAAGGCCUUCGGGUUGUAAACUGCUUUUGUACGGAACGAAAAAGCUCUCUCUAAUAAAGGGGGUGAAUGACGGUACCGUAAGAAUAAGCACCGGCUAACUACGUGCCAGCAGCCGCGGUAAUACGUAGGGUGCAAGCGUUAAUCGGAAUUACUGGGCGUAAAGCGUGCGCAGGCGGUUAUGUAAGACAGAGGUGAAAUCCCCGGGCUCAACCUGGGAACUGCCUUUGUGACUGCAUAGCUGGAGUUUGGCAGAGGGA